rnacentral:rRNA from 1 species
GAGACAGCAGCCGCCGCGGGAAUACGAAGGGGGCUAGCGUUGCUCGGAAUGACUGGGCGUAAAGGGCGCGUAGGCGGCAUAUGCAGUCAGGCGUGAAAUUCCUGGGCUUAACCUGGGGGCUGCGUUUGAUACGUAUAGGCUAGAGUGGGGAAGAGGGUUGUGGAAUUCCCAGUGUAGGGGUGAAAUUCGUAGAUAUUGGGAAGAACACCGGUGGCGAAGGCGGCAACCUGGUCCUUGACUGACGCUGAGGCGCGAAAGCGUGGGGAGCAAACAGGAUUAGAUACCCCCGUAGUCCCUGUCUCUUAUAC